GACGAACGCUGGCGGCGUGCUUAACACAUGCAAGUCGAACGGAAAGGCCCUGCUUUUGUGGGGUGCUCGAGUGGCGAACGGGUGAGUAACACGUGAGUAACCUGCCCUUGACUUUGGGAUAACUUCAGGAAACUGGGGCUAAUACCGGAUAGGAGCUCCUGCUGCAUGGUGGGGGUUGGAAAGUUUCGGCGGUUGGGGAUGGACUCGCGGCUUAUCAGCUUGUUGGUGGGGUAGUGGCUUACCACGGCUUUGACGGGUAGCCGGCAUGAGAGGGUUACCGGACACAUUGGGACUGAGAUACGGCACAGACUACAACGGGAGGCAGCAGUGGGGAAUAUUGCACAAUGGGAGGAAGCCGGAUGCAGCAACGCCGCGUGCGGGAUGACGGCCUUCGGGUUGUAAACCGCUUUAGCAUGUGACGAAGCGUGAGUGACGGUAAUGGGUAAAGAAGCACCGGCUAACUACGUG
rnacentral:rRNA from 1 species